rnacentral:rRNA from 1 species
UUACUGUGGGUUUUACGGGUCGUGACAUGGGCUCGUUUAUUCGGGCUUGUUGAGCGCACUUGUUUGCCUGCGUUUAUCACAAACUCUAUAAAGUAUUAGAAUGUGUAUUGCGAUGUAACGCAUCUAUAUACAACUUUCAGCAACGGAUCUCUUGGCUCUCGCAUCGAUGAAGAACGCAGCGAAAUGCGAUAAGUAAUGUGAAUUGCAGAAUUCAGUGAAUCAUCGAAUCUUUGAACGCACCUUGCGCUCCUUGGUAUUCCGAGGAGCAUGCCUGUUUGAGUGUCAUGAAAUCUUCAAUCUAUAAGCUUCUUAAUUGGAGUUUGUAGUCUUGGACUUGGAGGCUUGUCGGUCCUUUACAGGUCGGCUCCUCUUAAAUGCAUUAGCUUGGUUCCUUGCGGAUCGGCUUGUCGGUGUGAUAAUGUCUACGCCGCGACCGUGAAGCGUGUUUGGGCGAGCUUCUAACUGUCUCGUUAUGGAGACAACUUUAUGACCUCUGACCUCAAAUCAGGUAGGACUACCCGCUGAACUUAAGCAUAUCAAUA